rnacentral:ncRNA from 1 species
ACUGACGCGACCAACGAGCCUAUCCUUGGCCGAGAGGCCCGGGUAAUCUUGUAAACCGCGUCGUGAUGGGGAUAGAUUAUUGCAAUUAUUAGUCUUCAAC